ACCACUACUGAGGGUUUUGAAGUUUUCUCUUUUAAAUCUGCUCCUCCGGUGAAAUCCACCGCCACCGCCGUCGUUCCCGUCGCGCGGCCGCCCCACCAUCUCAGGUAAGCUCCCCUCUUCUCCCUCUUUCUGUACUCUGUCUCUCUGCCCCUCUAUCUCGAUCUUCCUCUAUCUCGAUCUCUCUCUCUUUUCUGGUCGGGCCGCGGCGGCCGCUGCGAGCCGCGACGGCGCAUGCAGCGCCGGGGGUCGCCGCCGCCCUGCUCUCCUCUCUCUUCCUCCAUCUCGUUCUAUCCGUCUCUUUCUAUUUCACUCUCUAUCUCCCUGGUUUAAUCUCCCUCUCUAUCUCUCUUUCUCAACCUCUCUCUCUGCUGUCAGUAGCCACCACGGCCGCCGUGGCGCCGGCGACCACCGCCGCCAGCCGUGCCUCCGCAUCAAAAUCGCAUUCCAGCAAACUUCCAAUCUAAUUUCUAUUUCAGUUUUAACAUCACAAACUAAUAAAUCUCAAACUAUUUUCUGUUCCAGGAAUCGGUAAUUCAAGAUGGUUUGAGAUGGUUUCAUCGGCAGUUCAUCUACAGCCCAAGACUCCCUUUUAAAGACUCAGCCUUUUAUUAUUGAAUUAACUGUUGUAAUUAAAUGUAUUCUCAAAGUGUUAAAGAAAAUUGAUGUUAUCUCUACUAUUCUUGAUUUCUAUCUACUGAGUGAUUACCGAGUUAUAGGAAGAAUACUACCUGCUUGCGUGCUGUGAUAACUGCUGGGGAUGAUUUAUAUUUUGGAUGGAUAUUUGCUUUGCUGUUUGGAAUUUACAGAAUGGGGAAAAUUUUGGUUCACG
rnacentral:lncRNA from 1 species